GGGGGCAAGCGUUGUUCGGAAUUACUGGGCGUAAAGGGCGCGUAGGCGGCCUGUUAAGUCGAACGUGAAAUCCCCGGGCUCAACCCGGGAACUGCGUCCGAUACUGGCAGGCUUGAAUCCGGGAGAGGGAUGUGGAAUUCCAGGUGUAGCGGUGAAAUGCGUAGAGAUGCGGAGGAACACCGAUGGCGAAGGCAGCCCCCUGGGCUAACACUGACGCUCAGGCACGAAAGCGUGGGGAGCAAACAGG
rnacentral:rRNA from 1 species